rnacentral:rRNA from 1 species
AUUGAACGCUGGCGGCAGGCCUAACACAUGCAAGUCGAGCGAGCGGAGGACGGGUGAGUAAUGUAUGGGGACUGCCCGAUAGAGGGGGAUAACUACUGGAACCGUUGGCUAAUACCGCUUACUAUCCAAUAACCCUUAUGUGAUUAGCUAGUAGGUGGGGUAAAGGCUCACCUAGGCGACGAUCUCUAGCUGGUCUGAGAGGAGGAUCAGCCACACUGGGACUGAGACACGGCCCAGACUCCUACGGAGGCAGCAGUGGGGAAUAUUGCACAAGGGGCGCAAGCCUGAUGCAGCCAUGCCGCGUGUAUGAAGAAGGCCUUAGGGUUGUAAAGUACUUUAAGCGGGGAGGCGUUACCCGCAGAAGAAGCACCGGCUAACUCCGUGCCAGCAGCCGCGGUAAUUC